rnacentral:rRNA from 1 species
ACAUACGACCAUACCUACCAGAAAAUACGGGAUCCCGUCCGCUCUCCUAUAGUCAAGCUGGUAAGGGGCGGAUUAGUAGUUGGGUCGGUGACGACCAGCGAAUCCCCGCUGUUGUAUGUU